AAAGGCGAGCUUCCACUUUUGCGCUUAUUUUUUUAAAAAUAUUCAAAUUAUUUUUUAAAAAAAGUAAGUGCAAAAGUGGAAGCUCGCCUU
rnacentral:pre_miRNA from 1 species